AUGCCGGAUGCUCCGGUUGGAUGCAUGUCCUUCCGGGAAAGGUUCCAUCGGUAUGGGAUGGGGUCGCGUCCUAUCAGCUUGAUGGCGGGGUAACGGCCCACCAUGGCUUCGACGGGUAGCCGGCCUGAGAGGGCGACCGGCCACAUUGGGACUGAGAUACGGCCCAGACUCCUACGGGAGGCAGCAGUGGGGAAUAUUGCACAAUGGGCGCAAGCCUGAUGCAGCGACGCCGCGUGCGGGAUGGAGGCCUUCGGGUUGUAAACCGCUUUUGAUCGGGAGCAAGCCCUUCGGGGUGAGUGUACCUUUCGAAUAAGCACCGGCUAACUACGUGCCAGCAGCCGCGGUAAUACGUAGGGUGCAAGCGUUAUCCGGAAUUAUUGGGCGUAAAGGGCUCGUAGGCGGUUCGUCGCGUCCGGUGUGAAAGCCCAUCGCUUAACGGUGGGUCUGCGCCGGGUACGGGCGGGCUGGAGUGCGGUAGGGGAGACUGGAAUUCCCGGUGUAACGGUGGAAUGUGUAGAUAUCGGA
rnacentral:rRNA from 1 species